rnacentral:tRNA from 1 species
GGGCCCGUAGCUCAGCUUGGUAGAGCAGCCGUACACUCAGAACUUCUCUGGUGUGCUGACGCUCAUAACCUGCGGGUCUCGAGUUCAAGUCUCGACGGGCCCACCA